rnacentral:rRNA from 1 species
CAGCUUGUUGGUGGGGUAAUGGCCUACCAAGGCGACGACGGGUAGCCGGCCUGAGAGGGCGACCGGCCACACUGGGACUGAGACACGGCCCAGACUCCUACGGGAGGCAGCAGUGGGGAAUAUUGCACAAUGGGCGAAAGCCUGAUGCAGCGACGCCGCGUGAGGGAUGACGGCCUUCGGGUUGUAAACCUCUUUCAGCAGGGAAGAAGCGCAAGUGACGGUACCUGCAGAAGAAGCACCGGCUAACUACGUGCCAGCAGCCGCGGUAAUACGUAGGGUGCGAGCGUUGUCCGGAUUUAUUGGGCGUAAAGAGCUCGUAGGCGGCUUGUCGCGUCGGAUGUGAAAGCCCGGGGCUUAACUCCGGGUCUGCAUUCGAUACGGGCAGGCUAGAGUGUGGUAGGGGAGAUCGGAAUUCCUGGUGUAGCGGUGAAAUGCGCAGAUAUCAGGAGGAACACCGGUGGCGAAGGCGGAUCUCUGGGCCAUUACUGACGCUGAGGAGCGAAAGCGUGGGGAGCGAACAGGAUUAGAUACCCUGGUAGUCCACGCCGUAAACGUUGGGAACUAGGUGUGGGUCACAUUCCACGUGGUCCGCGCCGCAGCUAAC